rnacentral:rRNA from 1 species
AGAGUUUGAUCCUGGCUCAGAUUGAACGCUGGCGGCAUGCCUUACACAUGCAAGUCGAACGGCAGCACGGGAGCAAUCCUGGUGGCGAGUGGCGAACGGGUGAGUAAUGUAUCGGAACGUACCUUUCAGUGGGGGAUAACGUAGCGAAAGUUACGCUAAUACCGCAUAUUCUGUGAGCAGGAAAGCAGGGGAUCGCAAGACCUUGCGCUGAUUGAGCGGCCGAUAUCAGAUUAGCUAGUUGGUGAGGUAAAGGCUCACCAAGGCGACGACCUGUAGCGGGUCUGAGAGGAUGAUCCGCCACACUGGAACUGAGACACGGUCCAGACUCCUACGGGAGGCAGCAGUGGGGAAUUUUGGACAAUGGGGGCAACCCUGAUCC